GAUGAACGCUGGCGGCGUGCCUAAUACAUGCAAGUCGAGCGAACGGACGAGAAGCUUGCUUCUCUGAUGUUAGCGGCGGACGGGUGAGUAACACGUGGAUAACCUACCUAUAAGACUGGGAUAACUUCGGGAAACCGGAGCUAAUACCGGAUAAUAUUUUGAACCGCAUGGUUCAAAAGUGAAAGACGGUCUUGCUGUCCCUUAUAGAUGGAUCCGCGCUGCAUUAGCUGGUUGGUAAGGUAACGGCUUACCAAGGCAACGAUGCAUAGCCGACCUGAGAGGGUGAUCAGCCACACUGGAACUGAGACACGGUCCAGACUCCUACGGGAGGCAGCAGUAGGGAAUCUUCCGCAAUGGGCGAAAGCCUGACGGAGCAACGCCGCGUGAGUGAUGAAGGUCUUCGGAUCGUAAAACUCUGUUAUUAGGGAAGAACAUAUGUGUAAGUAACUGUGCACAUCUUGACGUUACCUAAUCAGAAAGCCACGGCUAACUACGUG
rnacentral:rRNA from 1 species